rnacentral:misc_RNA from 1 species
CCGACCGAAAAUAAAGCCGGUCGGUAUCGCGCCAAUCGCGUAAAUCACAAUAAAAGCCGGACAGCCGGCCAUGAUUAUCCUCUCCGUCCCGUGACAGAGAUGCGACGGCACUUCACGUCGCGUCGGAUGGAAACGCCUCGAGCGUUCUCGUCGGACAGCAGUCCAUCCUCUUGGCCCCGCUUCAAAACCGAAGUCUGGAUUUUCAAGGAUUAUAUUUCACUUGGUAAAACGUUGAAGAGCUACGCGACCGCAGUUUCAGCGUGUUACGAGAGAGGCAAAUUGAUUCUUGCAACAGGGCAGAUGCUAUCAAAUGGGAUACAGGGGCGAGAGGGAAACGAAAUCGAUGGAUGAAUCGAAGAAACAGCGGAAAAAUCAAGGGAAAAGAAGCCUCCUCUGAAUUCCAGACCAAUCGUCCGCGGAAUUGCAGCGAUCUGCGCGACCAGGGAUUACUCGUGGAAACCAAUCGGCUCCUUUCAACCGAUUGAAUCGGUCGACAGAACGGUUCUCUCGGUGAAUUAAACGGAAAUCCUAACCAAGAAUUUGGCUGGCCGGAGGGAAAACCGGAUAAGAAUGAUCGUAAAUAUCGCACGAGGACGAAGGAACCAUUGGUACCACCGAACGUUCGCACGGCACAAUUUCCGCGUCGAACCGGAAGCCAUGCUGGCGUUCGUGCAGAAACACGGCAAAUCAAGGAAAGAAUGCGGUAGCGUUGACAAAGAGCGACGAAAACGACCAGCAAGAAACCCAUCCGUUUUCUGAAAAGCUUCUCGUCAAAGAAAUUCCUCCUGCCUAAACUGAAGAACCAGAACGCUCCUCAAAAGUUCGUCGAAACUUUUUAAAACGAAGAACAAUACUCUUCGCGAUCAUACAGAUAUACCAGUCGUUGCGCUCUAUCCAAAUGAUACUUAAACACACCUGUGUUGCGGCACAAGAUGACGAUAGACGGUGUAAAAUCUUCGAACCGAACUAUUUAUUCUACGAAUAAAUUGUUCCAAAUCCAAGAGGCAGGAACAAGAGCUGUAUUCUGCUUCUGAAGAAGCGAUUGUCCUCGAGCGUGUCAUAAGCCUGGUUUACGCUUUAGCUCUCUUUCGAACGAUAUAACGUUAUAAGCCUCGACCAUCGUCUAUGCAGUUCGGAAUUUGAUUCACGAUUCCUUUGAGCAGCGAAUCUAGAAUAAAAGAGAACAAAACCGAAAGAGACAAAAAGAGCGAAAGAAAGGGAAAGACAGAAGGAUAGAAGAGGAUGGCUGCGAAAUCGAGCACGAUUCGCGCGUUAAGAAGCACCCACACGGUCACCCUUGACGAAAUAAAGAACCAGAUGGUGGUGAGCGACGAAGGGGAAAGGGGAAAGGGGAAAGAGGAAAGAGGAGAACAGGCUUUAGCGGGGCCAGAACACUCCAGCACGAGGGUCUGGAUUACGCGGCGAGCGUGAAACGUGCCAAGAGGCGCGAAAACCGUCGUCACCGCUAGCGUGCAGAGAGAAGGGGAUCCCGAAGCUUCUCCUCCUGGAGAGAGAUCGUCGCUGACGAUCACGACGGGGAACCUUCCGUCGCGGUAGUCGGAAACAGGAGGGAAAAGUGGGAUAGAGAAGAGAUCGUCGAGGAGACAA